rnacentral:lncRNA from 10 species
AUUUAUAUAUGAGUGAUUAUGUAUCCCUGUUGUUUUUCAGUGUCUUCUCAGAAACCACCAGCCUUGAAGGCUACAAGUGACGAGAAAGAUUCUGUUUCGAAUAUAGCCACACAAAUAAAGGAUGGAGAAAAAUCUGGGACAGGGCAGAGAAGACCCAGAGAAAGCCCAAGUGGCUGCUGGAACAAAGUCAGACACCGUGCCACCUGUCCACACUCAUUGGCUCUGCCAUCAUGCUGAAGAUCGGUUGAAAGGACUGGCUUCCCUCCCCCCAAAAUUAAAAGAGCACAAACUGAGAAACUGAAUGUGGGAGACAGCAGUGGAUUAUGCUGUUCUCAGGGGUCACCUCAGGUUUGGAAGCAUUCUUUCAAAUUAACCCAUCUCAGGCCAUCUGCAGAGAAGAAAGGUGGCACCUAACUUUUUUUCUUGUCAGCAUUUGGUAGGGGUGUUUUAUUAACCAAAUAUAUUCCCACAACCUAGUUUUUUGUAACUAAAUAUAGUAGAUUUUUAAAUUUUAUCAUCAAAAUCUAUAGACAAUUUUUUAUUAAAAUAGACUCCACAUCUAUGUCCUGCUUUUCUUCUUCUUAUUAAUUACAGUGCUGUAUAAAAGAACAAGACUUCAGAAUCAAGAAUAUCUUGUCUCUUGGCAUUGAAUUUAUACAAGGUGCUCUUUCUUUAAUGCUGUCUCAAAGGACAUAUUUUUAUUCAUUAAAAAGGAAGAUCGGAAUCUAGUUGUAUGCACUGCUCCAACAUAUUAAUACAUAAAAUUAGGAGGUAAAUGUGGUCAAAGCUAUAGAAAGACUUGAGAUGUCAUUUAUAUUGAUUACUGUAUAGCACUCUACAAACAGAAAUUGUUAAAUAAUAGUUUAUAUAAAUAUUUUGUAGCAUUUCAAAUAUUUGAGUGCCUGAAGUUUCUCCUCUUACAUAGUUCAGAUUAUCAAUUUGGAGACUUACUCCGCUAGUUAAAAUGUUUUUAGUCUCGUUUGAGUAUUAUAUAAAAGCAAUUUUCAGUUAAAUGUGUUCCGCUUACAUAAAACAUUACAAAUUAGUGAGUAUUUAAUUACAUUUUCAUGUUCCUGUAAUGUCUUUAGAAGAUUUUCAUAUUACCUAUCAAUAUAUGUAUGCUUUGUCCAAGAAAAAUCAAACAUAUAUAUAAUUGAAAUGGAAACUUUUUAAAAGUACUUAUUAAUUCCAUUGAAAAACCACAUCCAUAGGAACAAUUACAAUAUAAUAUUGUGAACAUGUAAAUAUAUAUCCUAUUUUAUAUAUAAGCAUAUAUGAUUACAAAUAUAGUUAAGAAUUUUUAAACCUAGUAUUAUAAAGUAAAAAUUAGUUAAACUUCUGAUGAUUAUUUAUUAAUGAAGAUAAAAUUAUUUUGAUUUGGG